rnacentral:rRNA from 1 species
GACGAACGCUGGCGGCGCGCUUAACACAUGCAAGUCGAACGGAAAGGCCUGCUUUCCCUUGUGGAUUGCGGGUACUCGAGUGGCGAACGGGUGAGUAACACGUGAGUGAUCUGCCCCCAACUUGGGUAUAAGCCUGGGAAACUGGGUCUAAUUCCCGAUAGGACUGCAGGGUGGUGCCUGUGGUGGAAAACGAUUUUCUAGUGGUUGGGGAUGAGCUCGCGGCCUAUCAGCUUGUUGGUGGGGUAAUGGCCUACCAAGGCGGCGACGGGUAGCCGGCCUGGGAGGGUGGGCGGCCACAGUGGGACUGAGACACGGCCCAGACUCCUACGGGGGGCAGCAGUGGGGAAUAAGGCACGAGGAGCGGAAGCCUGAUGCAGCGACGCCGCGUGAGGGAUGACGGCCUUCGGGUGGUAAACUCCUUUCGGCCGCGAGGAAGCCACCUGGUUGGAGGGGUGGUGACGGUAGUGGUAGAAGAAGCACCGGCUAACUACGUG